AAAUCAGAUAUGCAUGAAAAGCCACCUUGGUUAAAAAAUUAAAAGGCAUGCACCCCUUACCGAUCAAACAAACUAUACCCAUCUAUUACCCAACAUCUUUCUUAAACCAAUAAUAAUAUAUAAAUAAAAUCUCAAAACCACAUAUACAAACAAAAUCUCAGAAUUCCGAUGACGAAAGUGAGGAAGAUUGUACAAUUAGAUCGUGACAGACGAAAUUAGCAAUUACGGCUACCGUUACCGAGAUAACUUGCGGAAUUUGAAGUUCUUGAGACUUAUGUCACGUCGUGUUCUUUGGUGAAGACAUGACGGUUCAUCGGUUGGGUUCAGGCAGGGCCAUCAAUUUGGUAUUAGAGCAAAGGUCACCCACCAAGAACGAAUCAAGAAGGAUAACAUGAUUAGGAAGUGAGUGAUUUCGAUUACUGAUCAAAUCGGAAAAAGGAAAAGAACCAGACUAUGAUUUAUUAUUGAAAUCGGCAUGUGUUUUCUGUUGUAUUUAAAGAAUUGCAUAAAUUGCGAAUAUGAAGAAGACAGGCGAAACGGAAUUCGAACGGGUGUUAAUCAAACGGAGAAGAAGCAUAGGAAACAUCGCAGAGGGGACCAGCGACAAGAAAUAAGAAUGAAGAAGAAUUUGAACCGCCGAUUGCAAAAGGUUUGAGCAUUCGCUUGAGGCCGGCGGCAGAAAAAUCACAAAGUGAUUGGAGGAGAGAACCGGCAAGGAAGAAAUAGAAUGAUGCGUUUGUGAAUCAAAAGUUUGACCAAAAUUCAAAACUAAAGAAAGGUGUUUAAAUAGUAUUCAAACACAAUCACGUUCAGUCAAAAUUAGAAUUAUAUUUUUUACUCGAAACUUAAAAUCCGUUUUGAGGUCUUUUUUGUAUAAAAAAGGCUUCUUAAAUCCUUUUGUCUUUUCAGUUAGUGUAAUUUCGCUUAGGUUUUGUUAAUUAGUAGAUAUCUGCAUUUAGAAUUGUUC